GACGAACGCUGGCGGCGUGCUUAACACAUGCAAGUCGAACGAUGAAGCUAGAGCUUGCUCUGGUGAAUUAGUGGCGAACGGGUGAGUAACACGUGAGUAACCUGCCCCGAACUCUGGGAUAACUGCUGGAAACGGUAGCUAAUACUGGAUACGACCUACGAAGGCAUCUUCUGUAGGUGGAAAGAAUUUCGGUUCGGGAUGGACUCGCGGCCUAUCAGCUUGUUGGUGAGGUAAUGGCUCACCAAGGCGACGACGGGUAGCCGGCCUGAGAGGGUGACCGGCCACACUGGGACUGAGACACGGCCCAGACUCCUACGGGAGGCAGCAGGGGGGAAUAUUGCACAAUGGGCGCAAGCCUGAUGCAGCGACGCCGCGUGAGGGAUGACGGCCUUCGGGUUGUAAACCUCUUUUAGUAGGGAAGAAGCGAAAGUGACGGUACCUGCAGAAAAAGCACCGGCUAACUACGUGCCAGCCGCCGCGGUAA
rnacentral:rRNA from 1 species